UACAGUGGCUGCAUCAGAGAGUGAGUGCUCAAUAGCAUCUGCUCUUGGAAGCUAAGCAGGGCUGUGCCUGGUUAGUACUUGCAUGGGAUACCAACUUGAAAGACCAGGGGCUGCUAUCC
rnacentral:rRNA from 12 species